UCUCGAUUAGUAUAGUGGUCAGUAUGCCAGCUUGUCAUUCACAACUUUGAAUACGCUGGAGACCGGGGUUCAAUUCCCCGAUCGAGAG
rnacentral:tRNA from 1 species